rnacentral:tRNA from 1 species
GGGGAUGUAGCUCAGUGGUAGAGUGCUUACCUAGCACAUGUAAGAAACUGGGUUUGACUCACAGCACCA